AAUGCCAUAACCAUUAGCAUACUUUGGACAUCAAUGGAGUUGUGUUUGCUGCGAGAAAGUUACUGACUUCUUUCUUUUUGGUUAAUUCAGAUCAAUGUCAACUCGCUCUGGAUUUCCCCUUUCGGUUUGAUUCGCCAGAAGUUCGACCCCGAGCUGCCCUUUGUCUCCAGCUCCAAAUGCAUACAACUUCCCCGACUCGGUCAGUGCAAAGGUGUGUGCAUUCCAGUAAAUUGAAUUAGUGAGGCUAAUCUGAACUACCCGUUCGUUAAUUUGCUUCAGAGACCUGACUAGUUCUGGGCUUAACACGUGAGGUUGCCGAUUCCCCUGUUCCUCGGGGAUGGCGAUAUUAUGUCCAAG
rnacentral:misc_RNA from 1 species